rnacentral:rRNA from 1 species
GUUAAAGAAUGCUCGCCCAUAAAUAAAGAUAAAACUUAACUAGGCUGUAGAAAGCAACAGUUAAAACUAAAAUAUACUACGAAAGUGACUUUAUUGUAGCUGAUUACACGAUAGCUAAGACCCAAACUGGGAUUAGAUACCCCACUAUGCUUAGCCCUAAACUUAGGUAUUUAAUCUAACAAGAAUACCCGCCAGAGAACUACUAGCAAUAGCUUAAAACUCAAAGGACUUGGCGGUGCUUUAUAUCCCUCUAGAGGAGCCUGUUCUGUAAUCGAUAAACCCCGAUAAACCUCACCACCCCUUGCUAAUUCAGCUUAUAUACCGCCAUCUUCAGCAAACCCUAAAAAGGUGUAAUAGUAAGCACAAGUAUAAGACAUAAAAACGUUAGGUCAAGGUGUAGCUUAUGAGGUGGGAAGAAAUGGGCUACAUUUUCUACCAACUAGAACAUUUACGAAAGUUAUUAUGAAACUAAUAACCAAAGGAGGAUUUAGUAGUAAGUUAAGAAUAGAGUGCUUAACUGAAUCAGGCCAUGAAGCACGCACACACCGCCCGUCACCCUCUUCAAGUACUUUAGACUAUCACUAAUCUAUAAUUACAAGUCACCCAGUAUUAGAAGAGAUAAGUCGUAACAAGGUAAGCAUACUGGAAAGUGUGCUUGGAUGAAU